rnacentral:rRNA from 1 species
GUGCCUACGGGGGGCAGCAGUAGGGAAUCUUCCACAAUGGACGAAAGUCUGAUGGAGCAACGCCGCGUGAGUGAAGAAGGGUUUCGGCUCGUAAAGCUCUGUUGGUAGUGAAGAAAGAUAGAGGUAGUAACUGGCCUUUAUUUGACGGUAAUUACUUAGAAAGUCACGGUUAACUACGUGCCAGCAUCCGCGGUAAUACGUAGGGUGCAAGCGUUGUCCGGAUUUUUUGGGCGUAAAGCGAGUGCAGGCGGGUUAAUAUAUAUGAU